rnacentral:lncRNA from 1 species
GUUUUAACUAAAACUAUAUAGUUUUGCUGCUAGUACUAAGAGUUAUUAAUAUAUUGUCUCUUAAUUCCUAACAAUGGCUGAUUAAAAAAGACUUGCAAGAUAUACCUUUUAGAAGGUAUAAAGAGAGUGUCUACUUAAAGAGACAUACAUUGGGAGAGAAAUGUAUAAACUAAUAGUAUAUUUAUUCAUUUAGAGAGAGAGAUAUUAAACGUAACAAUAUCUAUGAUUGUAAAAUUUAGUAUUAUUUAAUCUUGUAAGAGUUUAAAAAUUAAGAGAGAGAAAAAUAAUAGAAAUAAAUAUUAUAAAUUAAGAGUGAAUUUAAGAUAAUAUCACUUGUAUCAUCCAGUGUUGUCAAGGUGCUAGGCAAGGUGAGGCACCUUCACUGAGGCAAGCGCCUCAAUAUCUAUGAUUGUAAAAUUUAGUAUUAUUUAAUAUUGUAAGAGUUUAAAAAUUAAGAGAGAGAAAAAUAAUAGAAAUAAAUAUUAUAAAUUAAGAGUGAAUUUAAGAUAAUAUCACUUGUAUCAUCCAGUGUUGUUAUGAGGCACCUUCACUGAGGCAAGCGCCUCAGUGAAGGGAGGCGCCAGGCGCUGCCUCUUUUAUAUAGACUAAUUUAUUUUUUAAUGAGUGCAAAGUGGAGCAGCAAAUGAAAGAAGAGAAGAAGAAGAAGAAGGAUGGGAAAAGUUUAUUAGAGGAGGACGAGGAAUAAAUAUUAUAACUUAAGAGUGAAUUUAAGAUAAUAUCACUUGUAUCAUCCAGUGUUGUUAAGGUGCCAGGCAAGGUGAGGCACCUUCACUGAGGCGCUCGCCUCAGUGAAGGGAGGCGCCAGGCGCUGCCUCAUUUAUAUAGACUAAUUUAUUUUUUAACGAGUGCAAAGUGGAGCAGCAAAUGAAAGAAGAGAAGAAGAAGAAGGAUGGGAAAAGUUUAUCAGAGGAGGAGGAGGAGGAGACAUAGUAAAUGCUUUUGGCAUCUUCCAUAAUCCAAUAUCUUCUAUUCUCUAUCCAAGUAUGCUACACACAACAAUUUUUUUCUUUUGUUUUUCUUCUGCAAUUUUAGGUUAUGUAUUUAUUUUGUUUUAUUGCUUAUAAUUGAAUACUUUUAGAAAAUAUAGGUUACUUUCUUAUUUAUUAUAAAUGAGUGUCAUUCUAUUGUUUUUAAUUUGAGUUUUAAAAUUAUAAUUUUUGUUUAUUUAUUUUGGAUGCCUGAGGAGGAGGAGGACCAAACCAAUUGAAAUUGAUAAUUCAGUUCGUCUUCUAUAAUAAAUUGGUGCGAUUUGAUUUUAAGAUAAAAAGUCUUUGGUUUAUUUGGUUCAGUUCGGUUUUCGUUAAGAAAAAUUCGGAGAAACCGAACCGAUUGAUAUAAUAAUAUUUUAUAACUAUAUUACAAGUGUUGAUGUGUAGCCUGGUGGUUUGAGAAGCUGCAUGUAAGGCUGCCACUUUUUUGUGUAGGUCACGAUUUCUGUUCUUAGCACUGCCUUUUUCUCCUUUUUUUUCCCCUUGCCUUUUUUGUAACAAAUAAUAUCAACUGUCUGUUCUCAAUGAAUCUCAACCAUUCUUUUCCUCUUAUAUAUUCAUUCUUUUUCUUUACCAAAACCCUACAGCCCCUAUUCUUCUCCUUCCUCUUUUACCGCCUUCUUCUCCAUUUCUCCUCUAUGGCCUUUUUUUUCUCUCUCUUUUUUUUAAAUUACUACUGAGUUCUUAAGGUACGGAGAAAUUCACCGGUUAUUUCCUUGAUUUUGAAUAACGUUUUAAAAAGUAUGCUAGUUAGUUUCUCCAUUAAUUUUUUCGAUAAGUAUUUUACUAUUUAGUCCUUAUAAUUUUGAAAAAUUUAUUAGUUGGUUCUUCAGAUUUUUAAAAAUUUACUAAUCAGUCCCUCAAUAUCAGAGAGAUUUCAGACUUUUUUGCAAUGUUUAACAGGUAAAAUUAACAAAGUGACUAAUUAGUAGUCUUUUUAAAACAUCAGGAACGUUUUAAUAUAUAUUUUAAAAUUGAGGGACCAACUAGUGAAUCUCUCCAUACUAUACGGACUAAGUAUUAAUUCUCUUUUUUUUUUUUAAUUUUCUUCUGCUCAUUUGUUAUCCUUGCCUCUUCAUUUUCUCCUUUCCUUCUUUUCGAGAAACCUUGCUCUUCUCUCUUCAACCAGGACCACAACUGAUUACUUCCUUCUAAGAUGAAGCUGAUAGUCUGCAGUCGUCGAUGGUUUGAUGAAGCCUUGACCUUUCCUUUACAAACAAAGCCGUCGAAGGUGUGAUGCCAUAGGAGAUGAAGUUGAUGGCAUGCUUUUUUUUUUCUCUCUCUCAGCUCAUUCUUAGGAGAUGGAGUGGAUUAGAUUUCUGAAAAUAAGUGUUGCUUAUGAAUAAGCUCUUGUUUUUUGGUUUUGAAUAUUAUUUGUAUACAACUUUGAUCGAUGAUAUGGACAAGUGUGAAUGAUUAAUUGAUGUUUGAAUCUUGUUUGAUGAAUUUCCUCAAUGGAAGCAUGGGUAUAUUUAUAUUUUUCAUUGAAUUUUAAAUUGAUUUGUGUGCAACUUUUGAUUGACAUAUAGAAAUGUGAUUGAAUAGUCGAUGCAUUAGUUCUGUUCGAUGAAAUUACUCAAAGAAUAAAAGAAGCAGUUAAAAAAUUUGUAUUUUUAGAUGAAUAUGAACUUGAUAUCAAACUGAUUUUUGACUUGAAUCGAACUGAAAACUUGCUGUUCAAUUCAAUUUGGUUCCUUCACUAGUUUAGUUCGAUUUGGUUUUGGAUGGUUUGGUUCAGUAGUGAACCGAACCGACAGAUGCUCAGCCCUACUUUUUGCCUCUCGCCUAGAGCGAUAGAAGAUCCUGUCGUCUUAGUGUCGCCUUUUGCCUUAAUAACAUUGGUAUCAUCCCCUAUUGCCCUAGUGUCCGCCUUUUGCCUU